UACGAAGGGGGCUAGCGUUGCUCGGAAUUACUGGGCGUAAAGCGCGCGUAGGCGGCUCGGUCAGUCGGGUGUGAAAUCCCUGGGCUCAACCUGGGAACUGCAUUCGAUACUGCCGAGCUAGAGUGUGGGAGAGGGUAGUGGAAUUCCCGGUGUAGCGGUGAAAUGCGUAGAUAUCGGGAGGAACAUCAGUGGCGAAGGCGACUGCCUGGCCCAACACUGACGCUGAGGUGCGAAAGCGUGGGUAGCAAACAGG
rnacentral:rRNA from 1 species